GGAGAGGUGGCCGAGUUGGUUUAAGGCAGCCGCCUGCUAAGCGGUUGAGCUUCUGUUAAGGGGGCUCCCAGGGUUCGAAUCCCUGCCUCUCCGCCA
rnacentral:tRNA from 1 species